UGUACACGCUGUGACUAGCAUAUCAAUAAGCGGAGGAAAAGAAACUAACAAGGAUUCCCCUAGUAACGGCGAGUGAAGCGGGAAGAGCUCAAAUUUGAAAUCUUAAAGGGUUUCCCUUUACGAACUGUAGUUUAAAGAAGUGUUUUCUGUUGAGGUUUUGGUAAAAGUUCUUUGGAAUAGGACAUCAUAGAGGGUGAGAAUCCCGUAUUUGACCUUUACUUUCAACUUUGUGAUACACUUUCAAAGAGUCGGAUUGUUUGGGAAUGCAGUCCAAAAUGGGUGGUAAAUUUCAUCUAAAGCUAAAUAUUGGCGAGAGACCGAUAGCGAACAAGUACCGUGAGGGAAAGAUGAAAAGAACUUUGAAAAGAGAGUUAAACAGUACGUGAAAUUGUCAAAAGGGAAGCGUUUGACACCAGUGUUGUUUUUCUGAAAAUCAAUUAAAGAACUGUUUAUGCUAAGCUGUUUAGACUUUAUCAGCUAACUGUUUAGUUUUGAGCUUUUCUUUAAUGCACUUUUCAGUUAACAAGUCAACAUCAAUUUCUUUUGCUGUAAAAAAGCUUGAGGAAGGUGGCUUGAGAUUCGUCUUAAGUGUUUAUAGCCUCUUGCCUAUGCAGUCGGAGAGAUUGAGGUCUGCAGCGUAGAUCCUUCGGGGCUAAAUGCAUUUGUGCUAAGUUAUAGCAUUUUAUAGACAACUUGUUGACUAUGAUUUGUCUUGUAGCUUACUCGCUUAUGUUAUUUUACCUACGCUUAGGAUGUUGAGUCGUAGAGCACGCAG
rnacentral:rRNA from 1 species